rnacentral:sRNA from 1 species
ACACGAGGUCUGAGAGAGAGAGGCAGCGUGUUUGAGCUGCUGGUGCGGUGGUCAGCGCGAUGCCCAAGGCCAAGGGCAAAACCCGGAGGCAGAAGUUUGGUUACAGUGUCAACCGAAAGCGUCUGAACCGGAAUGCUCGACGGAAGGCAGCGCCGCGGAUCGAAUGGUGAGGGGGCUGGGGUUCCGGGUGGCCGUGGGCCUCGGCCGGGACGGUCCGCGAGAUGACGGAUCCGCGAUGUCUCUCUUUGCCGGUAGCUCCCACAUCCGACAUGCCUGGGACCACGCUAAAUCGGUGCGGCAGAACCUGGCCGAGAUGGGGUUGGCUGUGGACCCCAACAGGGCGGUGCCCCUCCGUAAGAGAAAGGUGAAGGCCAUGGAGGUGGACAUAGAGGAGAGGCCUAAAGAGCUUGUACGGAAGCCCUAUGUGCUGAAUGCCCCUGGCAACCAUGUCAAAGAUAAUUUUGACUAUACACAAUAUGAGGACCUAACCCCUGGAUAUGAUUCGACUACUUC